rnacentral:rRNA from 1 species
CUCUAGCGAUACUGCCCGUAUAACGUGGAGGAAGGUGGGGAUGACGUCAAGUCAGCAUGGCCCUUACAUCCUGGGCUACACACACGCUACAAUGGGUGAUACAACAGGUUGCGAUAGAGUAAUCUGGAGCCAAUCCCUAAAAUCAUCCUCAGUACGGAUUGCAGGCUGCAACUGCCUGCAUGAAGUUGGAGUUGCUAGUAAACGCAGGUCAGCACACUGCGUUGAAUACGUUCUCGGGCCUU